GUGCAAGGUUCGUUAUAAAAUCUAUGUGAUACAAAGUUUUGUUUGUUACGAGCAAGUAAAAGGACAAAGCCCUUCGACUGUCAAACAUCUUUCCAAGAGUCACUUAGAUCAAAAUCUUAAGGUGAGCAAUGUGUCUUUAGCAUCGUUAUUCCUAUGGUUUCUCAUUUGUAUUGUUCCCCAAGUUGUAGACACAAUUUCACAACAUGAAAUGAAUUUUGACUCAGAUUUGUACAUUGAUCACUAUGAAUUGUGCAACUAAUUAAAAUUGUACAGGACCACUAUGUAUGUGUGGGUAGUUUUUCUUGGAAGCUUCUGCUUCAUAUUGUUAAAGUUUUGUGAAAAGAGUGGGACAAAGCAGAAAAGUGAAACGGGUGAUUGAUGGUUUCUUGCACAAAACCAUGAACGAUCGAUAAGUAUUAGAUAUUUGCAUCAUGUGUUGUAUUCAGUGCAACUCGAUCAUAGGAAGAUGUUUUACAAUUUGGGAUUUUGUUAAAUAAGACGAAUCCCAUUCAAAUUUAAAUUAUGUGUAAUUUUAGUAUGUUAUUAAAUUCUCAGUUUCCUGGGACUUAUUUUGUUUAAAAUAUGUGAUAUCAACCUGUUUUGUUCAGUGCAAUUCAUGUAUCUACUUUUCAAAAGUCAAAUCCUCCUACAUUGGAAUACAUUGGUGGUGAUCAUGAAUAACCUCUUAAUAUCUAUUUUUGUUAAAUUAAACAGUUUGACAUCUGUGCAUUUUUUUAACAAUAGACCAUCUUAUGUUGAAUGAGGAAACGACUCUGACAGGUACAUCGAUUGAAGAGCCUUAAGUACAAUCAGUCUUCAAAUGAAGUUGAGAGUUGCAUAUAGUUUGAAAGCAAAAGUCAUUGGUUAGAGGCAAAAUUACCAAAACAAUAAAUAUGGAAAAGCACAGUGAGGACUACUUCGAACUGUGCAGACAGUUUGCGUGUUGGGAGAAGAUCGACGUCAAAUUUUAUUAUGAGAGAGACUUCAACUAUGGAUAUUUUUGAAGAGAUUACAAUUAAAUAUAAUGUACAAAUUGUAGACCAAUUCUACAUGAGUUAGUAACUGGCAAAUUAUGUCAGUCUUAAUAGCUGAAGAAACUAUGUACAAUUGCUAUAUAGAGUUUUUGCCUUCACUUAUUUUAAAUAGUUG
rnacentral:lncRNA from 1 species